GUUUCCCUGCUCACUGUUGAUCAAAGGCCGUCUUUAACAUGACAUAUGGAUCAGCAGACACUAAUGAGAGGGCAGUGGCCAGCUGAAUCUCCACAGUAACAAAAGAGGCUGGGACAUCUGGAGUCAGCCACACACAGACUCCUGUCCCUCUGUCACGAUACACAGAAUUAGGAACAACCAAUGUUAAGUUCACUGAAGGCAGAUGAAUUCAACACGAUGCAGGAACACACACAAACAGAGGAGCAGUCACGUCAUGGAGACCAGGAGAUUCGACUUGGGAAAAGGAGGCAGCAUCAGAGAUAAUCCAAGGAGUUAUGGACAGUUUCCCAAGGUAAGAGAGUCUGUGUUCUCUGGACAAGACCAGACAGUGAAUGACAGUGUGCAUGUGUCUUUGUAGGGGUGUUGAUGAGUGCUGACAAGGCACAUGUGUGUGUGAUUAGAACUCUGGGAAACGUGAGGUCUGAGUCAGUGAGAGGAGCGAGAGCCUGGCGUGACUGUGACACCCUCUUGAAUUCAUGCUGUUUCUAAAUAGCCUCCUAUUUGCGGUACUCCUGUCUUAUUUAAAUGUAUUUAUAUGUGGAUAAGCUUCUAUGCUAUAAGCUAAAACUUCAUAAUAUUACAGUCAC
rnacentral:lncRNA from 1 species